rnacentral:rRNA from 1 species
UACGAAGGGGGCUAGCGUUGUUCGGAAUCACUGGGCGUAAAGCGCACGUAGGCGGCUCGUUAAGUCAGAGGUGAAAGCCUGGAGCUCAACUCCAGAACUGCCUUUGAUACUGGCGGGCUCGAGUAUGGCAGAGGUUGGUGGAACUCCGAGUGUAGAGGUGAAAUUCGUAGAUAUUCGGAAGAACACCAGUGGCGAAGGCGGCCAACUGGGCCAUUACUGACGCUGAGGUGCGAAAGCGUGGGGAGCAAACAGG